rnacentral:lncRNA from 1 species
AGUCACCGGCCUGAGAAGGAGUGGCCUAUUAAGAGUCUCAAAGUCUACCUGGGAGUGAAGAAGAAACUCAGGCCACCCACCUGCUGGGGCUUCACAGUGGUGCAUGAGACAGAGAAACAUGAGAAGCAGCAGUGGUGAGUGAGCGCCUCAUCCUGAGAUCCCAGGCUGAGGAAAGAUGGUGGCACGUCCCCCUUCAUUGUGUCCCUCAUCACUGCCCAGAUCUGUGACCACUAGCAGACCCUGGGCUGGGAAGGCAGACACGGUGUUCCCUGCUCAGUCAGGCCUUUGGCAUCAUGUGGGUCCGCGUCCAACCCUGCAGGUACCUCUGCUGUGACACACAGAUGGAGCUCCGGGAGUGGUUCGCUACCUUUCUGUUUGUGCAGCAUGACGGCCUGGUGUGGCCCUCAGAGCCCUCACGCGUGUCCCGGGCAGUGCCUGAGGUCCGGCUGGGUAGUGUGUCACUGAUCCCCCUUCGAGGUAGUGAAAAUGAAAUGCGCCGGAGUGUGGCUGCCUUCACCGCGGACCCUCUGUCU